rnacentral:rRNA from 1 species
CGUGUAGGCGGCCUGAUAAGUCAGAUGUGAAAGCCCUGGGCUUAACUCAGGAAGUGCAUUUGAAACUGUCAGGCUUGAGUAUGGGAGAGGAGAGUGGAAUUCCCAGUGUAGAGGUGAAAUUCGUAGAUAUUGGGAGGAACACCCGUGGCGAAGGCGACUCUCUGGACCAAUACUGACGCUGAGACGCGAAAGCGUGGGGAGCAAACA